UGUUUUUGUUUUUGUUUAUGUUUAGUAAUAAAUUCUGCAUCUAGCUUCUGUUUAAAUGUGUUUUUAUGUUUUAAUUAGUGUUUGUGCCAAGUAGAACCUAUAGGAUAACCUAUGGUGAUAGUUAAUUUGAUUUUGCCGAAAAAUAGAAACUUUGCACGCACGAAAUUAGUUUUGUUAAAUCAUAGAAACGUGAUUGUGCGUUGAUUCUUUUUGCUGAUGAUCAAUAGACAAAUUUUCCAGGACUUACUAUUUUUUUAGGAUUUUUAGAGUUCCAUAAGUUUGCGUUAGUUACAUAUUGCUAUAGAUUGUUCUGUUUUUGUCAGAUUCUGUUUUUCGUGUGUUGUUUGCUUAUUUUGAUGCAUCUAUGGCUAGUAUUAAGUGGUAUGAACCAUAUAGAACUCGAAAUACAGUAGGUUUAACAUCAAUAUAAAUAAAGAAUGAGUUCAUUACAGUACCUUAUGUGGUGGUUUUGUUUUCUUUCACUAACGGAGCUUAUGAGAUUUCCUGUUGAGUUUUGCGUUGUGAAGUUUUCAAGUUUUGGGUAAAGAUUUGCUGAACUAUGGAAUAAGGAGUGGAAAAAGCCUAAGCUUGGGGAUGCCCAUGGCACCCCAAGAUAUUCAAGAAUAGCCAAGAGCCUAAGCUUGGGGAUGCCCCGGGAAGGCAUCCCCUCUUUCGUCUUCGUUCAUUGGUAACUUUACUUGGAGCUAUAUUUUAUUCGCCACAUGAUAUGUGUUUUGCUUGGAGCAUCGUGUAUGAUAUUAGUAUUUGCUUUUUAGUUUACCACAAUCAUCUUUGCUGUACACACCUUUUGGGAGAAGCCCACUUGAUUAGAAUUUAUUAGAAUACUCUAUGUGCUUCACUUAUAUCUUUUGAGCUAGAUAGUUUUUGCUCUAGUGCUUCACUUAUAUCUUUUAGAGCACGGCGGUGGCUUAAUUUUGUAGAAAUUUCUAGUCUCUCAUGCUUCACUUAUAUUAUUUUGAGAGUCUCUUAGAACAGCAUGGUAUUUGCUAUGGUUAUAAAAUUGGCCUAGAAUGGUAGGCAUCCAAGUUGGGUAUAAUAAAAAACUAUCAUAGGAAGUGAAUUGGAUGCCAUGAUCAAUUUGAUACUUGAUAAUUGUUUUGAGAUAUGGAAGUAGUGAUAUUAAAGUCAUGCUAGUUGGGUGAUUAUGAAUUUAAAGAAUGCUUGUGUUGAAGUUAGCAAGUCCCGUAGCAUGCACGUAUGGUUAAAGUUGUGUAACAAAUUUGAAACAUGAAGUGUCCUUGGAUUGUGCAUCCUUAUGAGUGGCGGUCGGGGACGAGAGAUGGUCUUUUCCUACCAAUCUAUCCCUCUAGGAGCAUGCGCGUAGUGCUUGGUUUUUGAUGACUUCUAAAUUUUGCAAUAAGUAUAUGAGUUCUUUUGACUAAUGUUGAGUCCAUGGAUUAUACGCACUUUUACCUUUCCGUCAUUGCUAGCCUCUUCGGUACCAUGCAUUACCCUUUCUCACCUUGAGAGUUGGUGCAAACUUCGCCGGUGCAUCCAAACCCUGUGAUACGAUACGCUCUAUCACACAUAAACCUCCUUAUAUCUUCCUCAAAACAGCCACCAUACCUACCUAUUAUGGCAUUUCCAUAGCCAUUCCGAGAUAUAUUGCCAUGCAACUUUCCACCAUUCCGUUUAUCAUCAUGACACGCAUUACUUUUGUCAUAUUGCCAUUGCAUGAUUAUGUAGUUGACAUCGUAUUUGUGGCAAAGCCACCAUGCAUAAUUUUUCAUACAUGUCACUCUUCAUUCAUUGCACCAUCCCGGUACACCGUCGGAGGCAUUCAUAUAGAGUCAUAUCUUGUUCUAGUUUUGAGUUGUAAUUCAUAUGUUGUAAAUCAAUAAAAGUGUGAUGAUCAUCAUUAUUAGAGCAUUGUCCCCAAAAAGAAAAAGAAAGAAAGGCAAAAAAAGGCCAACGAAAAAAAGAAAAAGAAGAAGAAGAAAAAGAGAAAAAGGAAAAAAAAGGAAAAUAAAUAAAAAGGGGCAAUGUUACUAUCUCUUUUUCCACACUUGUGCUUCAAAGUAGCACCAUGUUCUUCAUAUAGCGAGUCUGAUAUAUUGUGCUUCAAAGUAGCACCAUGUUCUUCAUAUAGUGAGUCUCAUAUGUUGCCACUUUCAUAUACUAGUGGGAAUUUUUCAUUAUAGAAGUUGGCUUGUAUAUUCCUACGGUGGGCUUCCUCAAAUGCGCUAGGUCUUCGUGAGCAAGCAAGUUGGAUGCACACCCACUAGUUUCUUUUGUUGAGCUUUCAUUCAUUUAUAGCUCUAGUGCAUCUGUUGCAUGGCAAUCCCUACUCCUCAUGUUGACAUCAAUUGAUGGGCAUCUCCAUAGCCUGUUGAUUAUUCUCAUCAAUGUGAGACUUUCUCCUUUUUGUCUUCUCCACACAAUCCCCAUCAUCAUAUUCUAUUCCACCCAUAGUGUUAUAUCCAUGUCCCACGCUUAUGUAUUGCGUGAAAGUUGAAAAAGUUUGAGAUUAUUUAAGUACGAAACAAUUGCUUGGCUUGUCAUCGGGGGUGUAGAAUUUGGGAACACUUUUGUGUGACGAAAAUGAAGCAUAGCCUAACUAUAUGAUUUUGUAGGGAUGAACUUUCUUUAGCCAUGUUAUUUUGAGAAGACAUGAUUACUUUUAUUAGUAUGCUUGAAGUAUUACUAUUUCUUUUGUCAAUAUGAACUUUUGUUUUGAAUCAUUUGGAUCUGAACAUUCAUGCCACAAUAAAGAAAAUUACAUUGAGAAUUAUGCUAGUUAGCAUUCCACAUUAAAAAUUCUGUUUUUAUCAUUUACCUACUCGAGGACGAGCAGGAAUUAAGCUUGGGGAUGCUUGAUACGUCUCCAACGUAUCUAUAAUUUUUGAUUGUUCCAUGCUAUUAUAUUACCCCUUUUGGAUGUUUAUGGGCUUUAUUUUACACAUUUAUAUCAUUUUUGGGACUAACCUACUAACCAGAGGCCCAGCCCGUAUUGCUGUUUUUUUGCCUAUUUCAGUAUUUCGAAGAAAAGGAAUAUAAUAUCAAACGGAGUCCAAACGGAAUGAAACCUUUGGGAGCAUGAUUUUUGGAACAAACAUGAUCCAGAGGACUUGGAGUGCAAGUCAAGAAGCGAUCGAGGCGGCCACGAGGUUGGAGGGCGCCCCCCCUAUCUCAUUGGCAUCCACAGACCUACUUCUUCCUCCUAUAUAUACCCACGUACCCCGAAAACAUCCAGGGAGCCAACAAAAUACAAUUUCCACCGCCGUAACCUUCUGUAUCCGCGAGAUCCCGUCUUGGAGCCUUCGCCGGCGCUCCGCCAGAGGGGGAAUCGACCACGGAGGGCUUCUACAUCAACACCAUAGCCCCUCCGAUGAGUUGUGAGUAGUUUACCACAGACCUUCGGGUCCAUAGUUAUUAGCUAGAUGGCUUCUUCUCUUUUUGGAUCUCAAUACCAUGUUCUCCCCCUCUCUUUUGGAGAUCUAUUCGAUGUAACUCUUUUUGCGGUGUGUUUUUCGAGGUCCGAUGAAUUGUGGGUUUAUGAUCAAGUUUAUCUAUGAGAAAUAUUUGAAUCUCCUCUGAAUUCUUUUAUGUAUGAUUGAGUUAUCUUUGCAAGUCUCUUCGAAUUAUCAGUUUCGUUUGGCCUACUAGAUUGAUCUUUCUUGUAAUGGGAGAAGUGCUUAGCUUUGGGUUCAAUCUUGCGGUGUCCUUACCCGGUGACAAUAGGGGUUGCAAGGCACGUAUUGUAUUGUUGCCAUCGAGGAUAAAAAGGUGGAGUUUAUAUCAUAUUGCAUGAGUUUAUCCCUCUACAUCAUGUCAUCUUUCUUAAUGCGUUACUCUGUUCUUAUGAACUUAAUACUCUAGAUGCAUCCUGGAUAACGAUCGAUGUGUGGAGUAAUAGUAGUAAAUGCAGGCAGGAGUCGGUCUACUUGUCACAGACGUGAUGCCUAUAUACAUGAUCAUGCCUGGAUAAUCUCAUAAUUAUUCGCUUUUCUAUCAAUUGCUCGACAGUAAUUUGUUCACCCACCAUAAUACUUAUGCUAUCUUGAGAGAAGCCACUAGUGAAACCUAUGGCCCCCGGGUCUAUCUUUUAUCAUAUAAGCUUUCAAUCUACUUUUAUUUGCAUCUUUACUUUUCUAAUCUAUAUUAUAAAAUAACAAAAAUAUAUUUAUCUUAUCAUACUAUCUCUAUCAGAUCUCACUUUCGCAAGUGGCCGUGAAGGGAUUGACAACCCCUUUAUUGUGUUGGUUGCGAGUUCUUUGUUUGUUUGUGUAGGUGCGUGGGACUUUUGAGGAGCCUCCUACUGGAUUGAUACCUUGGUUCUCAAAAACUGAGGGAAAUACUUACGCUACUAUUACUGCAUCACCCUUUCCUCUUCAAGGAAAACCAAAGCAAGCUCAAGACGUAGCAGUCCACAACACACACACACACACACACACACACACACACCAAGUCGCACAACAAGAGGUACAAUAGGUUUUGCAGACGGCACAACUCAACAAGCCCAAAAAAACCAAAAAAGGAGAGGCCGACGGCCGGAGAACAAGUCCGGCCUCUAAUCAGGCUCCGGCGGUGGCGGAGGGAGCGGCGGCCACAAGCGGACAGCCGUGGAGCAAAGGUCGACGAUGAAGGCGGAGAUGGCAUCACGAUCCUGGGGGCGGCUAAGCGGCCGCCAGAGCUGCAAGUAACCAGACAAUUUGAAGAGAGCAUCAGUAGCCCGUCGAAGAGGAAUGCGCUGAAUCAAAUGUUUAUUGUGGAUCGUCCAGAGGGUCCAAGUGAGGUCCCCAGUCUCUAGCCACCUAAUGUGGCGAGAAGGCAGGGGGGAGCUCUGGAGUUUGGCGAAUAGGUCGGGGAAGUUGGUGUGACACCAGUUACCACCAACCACCUCUCUAAAGCAACUCCAAACAAAUUGAACGGACACACAAGAGAAGAAGAUGUGAUUCGAGUCUUCGGGGACAUCACAGAGCGGGCAAAGGCCAGAUCUAGGGCCAUUGCGCUUGCGAACCUCCACCCCAGACAGGGUCUGCCCGCGAAUCCAUUGCCACAUGAAGAUCUGUAUCUUCAGCGGCAAGCGGAUGGACCACACCAUCGUAAGGGGAGGAGGGGCGAUGGAGGGGGCAAUGGCCUGGUAGAGAGACUUGGUGGAGAAUUGGACUGACGGCUCAAGACGCCACCGAGCCAGGUCAGGGCCAGCGUCAACCACCGGCUCGUGAAGGGCGACGCAUUCGAGCAGCUCAUGCCAAGCGGCGGAGCCCGGAGGCCCAAAUGGCCUACGGAAGGCGAGGUGCCCUAAGUCAAUAAGGGCCCUCUCAACCGAGAUCUGAGGAUCAACGGCGAUGGAGAAGAGAUCGGGGAAGCGUGCAGCGAAGGAGGAGUCUCCCGCCCAUCGGUCGAACCAGAACAGGGUCGCAGUCCCAGAUCCAACCGAGAUGGAUGUCCCAAUGCGAAGGACCAGGAGAAGCUGGAUGAUAGACUGCCAAAACUAGGAGCCGCCAGACCUCUGACAGAAGGCAAGGGGUUGCCCACACAGGUACUUGCUCCGGAUGAUGUCUAGCCAGAGGCCACCAUGCCCUUGCGAGAUGUGCCAAAGCCAGCGGGAUAGGAGGGCGAUGUUCAUGCGCUUAGAGCACAUGAUCCCGAGUCCCCCUUGAUCCUGAGGCUUGCAGAUGUCCGGCCAACUAACCAUAUGGUAUUUUUGCUUAUUGUUGUCGCCAGCUCAGUAGAAGCAGGACUGGACUUUGGCGAUCUCAUGGUGUAGUGUCUCGUGAAGGCUAUAGAAGCUCAUGAGGAACAAGAGGAGACUGGAGAGGAAGGAGUUGAUGAGAAUCGUCUGAGCCGCCUUCGACAGCCACCUACCCUGCCAAGGCUCCAUGCGCGUUUGCAUCUUGGCCACAGUCGCACGGAAGCCAACGACGGUAAGCCGAGAGUCACUAAUGGGCGUUCCCAAGUAUGUUGUGGGGAAGGAGCCCAGACGGCAGUUAAGGCGGUUAGCAAUGUCCAGGCAUUCCGCCGGAGAGUAGACCAUCGCCAUUACAUCACUCUUGUCAAAGUUGAUCUUGAGGCCUGACAGAUGUUGGAAACAGAGGAGGAGGAACUUGAGAUUAGAUAUGUCCGUCUCCGAGCCUUCCACCAUGAUGAUGGUGUCAUCGGCGUAUUGGAGAAGGGAGAUCCCGGAAUCGCCAGCCAGGUGGGGGUGAUCCCACGAAUAUGGCUCGCCGCCUUAGCCUUGUCUAGGAUAGCGGCGAGAGCGUCCACCACCAUGUUGAACAAGAAUGGGGAGAAGGGGUCGCCUUGUCUAACCCCACAAAGGGUGUGAAAGUAGGGACCGAUUUCCCCAUUGAUGUUCACGGCGAUGCAACCGCAGAACACCAUCUGCAUCACCCGGGUGAUCCAACGGUCGUCGAAGCCCUUCCAGAGCAAAACUUCCCGAAGGAAGGACCAGCUGACAAUGUCAUACGCCUUAUGGAAAUCGAUUUUCAAGAAGACCGCCUUGAGGUGCUUAGAUCGGACCUCAUGGAUGACCUCAUGAAGGACUAGCACCCCAUCCAGGAUAUACCGCCCUUGAAUGAAAGCGGACUUGUUUGGGGUGGGUAAUGCGGUCCGCCAGCAGGGUCACCCUAUUGGCAUACCCUUUAGCCAGAAUCCGGAAGAUCACAUUGAUCAUCGUGAUCGACCGAAACUAGCGGGUGUCGGCGGCCCCAGGCACUUUAGGGAUGAGUGAAAUGAUCCCAUAGUUGAGGUGGCCGAGGUCGAUGGACCUAACAUAGAACUCGUCGAAGAUGGCCAUGAUCUCAGGUUUAAUCACAUUCCAGAAGGUCUGGAAGAAUUUAACCGGGAGGCCGUCGGGACCCGGGGCCGAGGUAGGGUUCAUGCCUCUAAUGGCAUCCCAAACCUCGCCCUCGGAGAAAGGGGUCAUAAGGGCCGCAUUCUCCACAGCGGAGACUAGCUGGGGGCCGACCCAGCAAUCAUGGGCCAGAGAUAAGCCGCUCCUAGGGACGGAGGAGAAAAGGUUCUUGUAGAACCCGUCAACAUGGAGGCGAAUGUCACUAGGGGACUGCAGAAGGGCCGCACCAUCCCAAAGGAGGGGGAUAGUGUUGCGUCUACGACGGCCAUUGGCGAUGGCCUGAAAGUAGGCCGUGUUCGCAUCACCCUUCAAUACCCAUUUUUGGGAGCCCCGAGGACGCUAGUAGGCCUCCUCGUUGGUAUAGAUGACGGAAAGUUGGUCUUCUAGGUCAUAAUGGGAGAGCCACUCCUUGAGGGAGAGGUCGGACGUGUCCGCCCAGAGGUCCAGGGCCUGAAUGGCGGUCAGCAGGGCCUUCUUACGUUCGUGGAGAUCGCGCCCAAGGUUGGCGCCCCAGCCCUUCAUGAACUGACGGCCCUAUUUGGCACAGAACUGCCACGAGUCAAUGGCUGAGGGGGGCGGGGCAGGGUGAGCACGAGCCUCAAUCCAACGCGCACCCACGGCCUCCACAAAUCCAGUUUGUGACAACCAGAAUGUCUCGAACCGGAAGCAGGGGUUAUCGACGGGCGCUCAUCGGCAAAUGAUAGAAGGAGGGGGACAUGGUCGGAGCCAAUCGGGUGAUGGCCCGGAGGGAGGCCAGCGGGCAGUGGAGGUCCCAUUCCGGGGAAACUAGGACCCGAUCCAGAACGGGUUGGGUCGGGGAGGCCUGGCGAUUGGUCUAGGUGAACUUGGCACCAAUCGGAUCUAUCUCGCGAAGCCUAAGCUCUGCAAUACAGUCAUUAAACAUUUGCAUCCGAGCAAAGUUGACAUGUUAAUUGCUCUUGUCUUCCGCGAAUCGAAGGAGGUUAAAAUCGCCACCGACUACCACCGGAAGAGUGGCGACCGAGAUCUUCCGGUGAAGCUCCUCGAGGAAGGAGGAUGACCUACUAUGGUCAGCCGGGCCGUAGACGAUGAUCACCUCCCAUUUGAAAUUAAGGGCAUGUUCAUAGAGUUCCAUGCUGACGAAGAAUUGGCCCCGGUCCAUACUGCCCACCUUGAAGGUGGCAUCCUUAACACCUAAUAGGAUGCCACCCGAAUGGCCGGCAUUCCCACUAGAAGGGAGCCAAUGCCAGGCAAAGAGGUGGGAGCUCAGCCGAUCGAGCUCAGGCAGGGAAAAUUCAGAGCGCAUGGUUUCCUGGAUGGCGACGAUGUCAAUAUGUUCAUCACGCAUGUACUCGAGAAGUUGGCGGCGUCGGCCAUCAUGGCCGAAACCGCAGAUGUUACUAUGCUUCAAGACAACAUAUGGUUUCAGUUGGGGUUUGAAACAGAUAAAUGCGCUAAUGUUGAUUUAAUCUGCAUGCAACUUUGGUUGUUUGUUUAAGGAUUCACCAAGAAAGAAAGAAAUUACUUUCCAUCACAUGAAUUAAAUGUUAAUGUUUAUGACUUGUUAAGUUAACCAAUGAUUUUUGUAUGAUGAAAUUGUGAGUAACAAUGUCAGUUUAUUACCACAAUACUGAUGAAUGAAAUCUUGAGAUAGUAUUCAUUUUCAUUAUUGUUUUUGCAGAAAUAACUUUCCAUCACAUGAAUUAAAUGUUAAUGUUCAUGACUUGUUAAGUUAACCAAUGAUUUUUGUAUGAUGAAACUGUGAGUAACAAUGUCAGUUUAUUACCACAAUACUGAUGAAUGAAAUCUUGAGAUAGUAUUCAUUUUCAUUAUUAUUUUUGCAUAAUCAAACUCCGAAGUAACUUUGUGCCAGGACCUUGUUUGUCCUCUUAUAUUAUUAAUUUUUCUACAGAACUUUGCAUUAGAACUUCGGAAGGACUUUCACUAUUAAAAAUCAGGCUAUAGAUUGUGACUAGGACCAGUAGUUUAAACAUAAAUACACUUUUCAUGCAGACUGAAAGAUUCUGCACGAGUGCUUAUUGUAGAUAUCUCUUGACGGGUUUUUAUCAGUUCAAGUUUUGGCUAAUAUUGAUGAAUAUGCUUUAUUAUCAUGUUCCCAUGACUUAAAACAGCCGUGAAUGCUUUUGACCUCGUUGUUUACAACAGGUCUAAUAUCUUCAAUCUCGUUCUCUCCUCAAAAUGGGAUGCUCGCAGUUGGCCCGCAUAGCCAGACAACAGCUGUUUAUGCGGAGGGUAACAUGGAGCCAUUAUAUGUUCUACAUGGCCAGCUUGGGGGUGUUACACAGGUUUGUGAAGCAACACUACUUGCUUAGCUUUUGCUGUAUAGAUAGCAAAUAACGGUGAUGCAAAUCUAAGGUGCUUUCUCGAAAGAUGGAAAUUAUUUAUAUACUGGAGGGCGGAAGGUAACUAAAACUCCUCGUAUUUUCAAUAAUUGAUCUCAAGGUUCUUCAUCACAUAUAUCUUGGGACGAUACAAACAACUGACCUGGCCAUGAUUUUUUAUUAGGAUCCAUACAUAUUAUGUUGGGAUAUUCGGAACACCGUGGACAUUGUUUACAGGUAAGUAUUUAAACACAUUCUAGAUUACUCCCAAAAUUCAACAUAUUGCUUAGAAUAAGUACAAUUAGUUUGUUGGAUUUGGGAAGUGGAAUUGAUAGGUUAAUCUGUCUUAUUUUAUAGGAAUCAUAUUCUUCUGACUUUUGUCAAACUCUUCCCCUUUUUUGUGUGUGGAAUCCCUUCAUUAGGUUGUACAGAUCGUGUGAUACUACUAAUCAAAGAGUACAAUUUGAUAUUGAGCCCUGUGGCAAGCAUCUUGCCACUGUUGGGCAGGUUUGCUCCUCAUGUUUCCGGUUCAUUCUUGUCUUAUUCCAAACCAUUGAACCUUUGAAACAUGAUUUUUAUGUUUCAACGGGACGACAUGGUCCAUAUUUACGACCUUCAAGGUGGCCAAUGGGUGACAGGCUUCCAAGCAGCUGCUGGCAUAUGUGUUUCUAAAUUUCUGUCUACAGAGAAGUUUACAUAACAUAUAUGCAAUUCUUUUAUGGUACAACCCAUGUGAAAUUUUUAUCUCCUUGAUCUUAGAUGCUGUCAACGGUUUCUCCUUCCAUCCAUACCUUCCUCUUGCUACAACAUUGUCUGGGCACAGAAGAUUUGGUAUGCAAGAUGAAUUUGAAGAGGAAUCGAGUUUGGCAGGUGUGUGUCAAUGUUCUAGGCUUCAAGCAUUUGUAAUGUGUUUAUGUUGCUUGAAUGGCAGGUGCUCACGCUUCUUUAUUAUUUAUUUUGCACAUUUAGGUGAUGAGAGCUGCUGCUCUGUCUGGAAGUUUUCUUGCUCACAAGAAUCUUGAAACAACAUCAAACCCUGAGUUGUGGUGGGAGUGGGACAGGUGAACAUUUUGGGCAGCAGAUGCUGGAAGUGCAUGGUGUAAUGAGAUCGGGCUAUAGCUGUGGGUGAACAAGAACUGGAUGCAGACCGCUAAAAUGCACACUGUACCGAUGAGUUAUCAGAGAAUUCGCCAGCUUAUCCUGUUCCAGGCACACAACUUUGCCGGGCUGGGUAACAAGCUGGUGAACCAUGAUAGUACGAUUGUUUUUUGGGGGGUAUGAGCUGGUUUUUUUUUUAUUAUGGCAUGCACCGAUGGGAUUUGCGUGUAUACACACCUUGUAUGUUGGUCGAUUAGGCCCCCAUUCAAUGCAAAGUGUUAUUUACCAAUGUCUUGUCAUUUGCAAGUUUUCGCUGGGAACUUUGUUUGCUCUAACUUCCCAUAUGCCCAUGGCCCACCUAUGAUCUUGUGUAUACAUUAUGAAUUUGGUUUUCUUUCAAGUUCCAUGGCCGCAAUACUACAUUGUGUUUACUAGAACACCCAUGACUCGAGCCCCAACUAUCAUGUUAUCAGCCCCAACUCCAUGCACAACUUGUAGAACAAAAAUGGCAUUAACAUUUUGCUAAAAUGGCACACCUUCGAAGAUCACAUUUCAGGCUUAGUUGAGUGCAAUUCUAGGGAUCAAUAUUUUCAAAAUUAUCAGGCAACUAAAAUUUAGCAAAAUCGAAUUUUUUAUAGCUGGACAGUAAGAUAGAAAGUUCCCUAAAGGUAGAGUCAGUCAUUGAAUUGUGGACAUCUUUAUGUCAGUCCAUGGUCAAUAAAACAAUGCAGAAAAUCAAAUGUUUUAUAAGCUAACUCCAUAUAUAGAUUAUCUCCAAAAGGUAACCUUCAAGUAAAAUUUGUUAUUCAAUGAGAUGGCAUGCAACAACGACUUUUGACCUUUGAGAUUUCAGUCUUCUUUGUUCUUGUUUAGCGGUUCUACUCUUCAUUUUCCGGGAAAAAAUGAAGGACUGGCCUCCUAGCAUCCCCAUCUUCGGAUGCACACGUCCAUGCCUUAAUUGCUGCAAAACAUGAAGACAUAAUUAAUAGGUUGAAAAAACAUGAGAUCAACAUAUGAUCUCAUGACAACCGACAUCUCGAAAUGCUACCACAAACCUAUCAGUGGAAAAAACCCACCGACGGAACUCCGAAGCCUAACAAAGGUAGCACUAAAGGACAGCAACUUAAAUAUGUAAUCGUGUUUGUACACCGAUGUAAACAGCGGUUGGUGUUCCACUAGCUAGACAUUUCACCUAGCCUUCACUAUCUUGCUUAAAUCACAACAAAAAUGACCAUCAAUAGAGAUUUGACAUGAAUAUCAAUAGAAACCAAUAGCUAGACAAUAAACAAUUUGACAUAUAUCUUUGCUGGAUCUCUCAAUUCUGAUAGCAAUUAAAAAAGAAUGUGUUCAUCUAAUUGGUCAGAUUAAGCCAAAUCUUAAACUAAAAAAAUCAAUACAAUUUCUGAAAUGUAGUGCAGUAUUAUAGUGCAAAAUGGUCUUCAGACCAAACAUAACCGAUGCAUGUAACACUCCAUAAAAGAAAGGUAAAACCUUAUAAUCAUUGUAUGAUGUGAUUUGUUUUCCUUGAGAAAUCAUGUACUGUCCUGCUGUGAAAAAACUCCAACAUGUGAGUAGCAAAUACUUCAUCCUACGCAGUUCCUUGAUAUCAGAAUUUAAUUUAUGGUUACAACCAAUAAGAAGAGAUGGUUUCACAAUUAAAAGAACCUGAACUAUUUCUGGUUUUACAGUAUAGCAGCUGAUUGACCAAAGGUUUGUUAGUUAUUCCUAGGAAUAUCUAUGUCAGAACACCUAGAGUCCACUGCCUAGAAGCAAGAAAUCGGGACUGGAGUGAGCAAGGGGAGAAGACUGAACUUGUGCAGAGAAAAGGUAAAGGUGGUGCAUAUCUUGCCAUGGGAAGGACAUAGUAGCACAAAGGAAAUGAGGAUGAUCCUGUUAGGACAACUGUUUUUGCUGUAGGAACCUACGGCGGGAAAUAGUUGGCCUGAAGCAUUUUCAGGGCAAAAUAAAAAAUUAAAUUCAAAGGAAUUUAACAAGCAAUCACGAGGUCAUGGAAGUUAUUAUGACUAAUGUUAUGACCGGCGUCACUUAUAGCCGGAGAAGACCCAAUGGGCGCGUCUAGUUAGGGGCUUAGCCCAACUUAUCUUAUUUUUAUUAGCAGCAACGAUUAUAUAAACAAUUGUAAGGCCACCUUUUGAACUUGAGCAAUAAGUCAUUACUAUUGCCCGGCUCCCCUUAGGAGCCGGAACCCUAAACCCUAGCCGCCUCUCUCUCACCGCCACCUCCUCCUCCUCGCGCAAACACGACGUCGUCGCGCCGCCGGCCGCGCUCAACCUCCCGCCAUCCACCCUUCCACCCCUACAACCUACGGUCUAGGCCUGGUAGAACCAUAGUUCCUAGCAAUCUGGUAUCAGGUAGCUCUGGUUCAAUCAUGUCUGUGCCGUAGCCCACCCCGUCCCUCCCGCUGCUGACCACGUCGUCGUCUUCGCUGACCACCACGGCCGCCGCCCCGCUUCUGCCCGCGCCGGUCUCCUCCGGCGCGCCUGCCCCCGCCGUCCUCACACCGGAGGUGUCCGGGGCGCUGCGGGAUCUCGCCCAGGCGAUCCAGGGCAUCCGGCUGUACCUGGCCGGGCCCUACGGGCCGCAACCAGCCGCUCCGCCCGUCGCCACCACCGGGCCGCCGUGGCAGCCGCCGCCCCUGGCGGCCUCCGCCGCGUUCGCCGGGCCGCUGCAGCUGCCGCCGCCACCACCUGCCAACUCCUGGCCAGCCCUUACCGCGGAGGCGGGGGUUUCGAUCCGGCAAGUCAGGUCCCCCCCCCCGCCGUCACCGUUACCGGCCUGGUUGGACGGGUCUUUGCAGCCGGUCUACACGAUGGCUUCGGGGCCGUCCAGUCGCCGCCGGCGCCACUUCUGCAGUACGGCGGGCCCUCCAGCUUUGUCAGCCCUUCCGCCGGCCUCGACGGUCCUCCGUUCCACGGGGGCCCUCCAUGGCCACAGACCCGGCGCCGCCCCCCUCGCUGCUCCGCGCCGACGAGGCGUUCCCAACGGCGGCCAUAACCACACGUUGCCGCGCUUCGCCAAGCUCGACUUCGCCACCUACGACGGCACCGAGGACCCUCUGAGCUGGGUCAAUCAAUGUAACCAGUUUUUUCGGGGGCAACGCACGCUCGUGUCGGACAGCACCUGGCUCACGUCGUAUCACCCCUGAGGCGCCGCACAAACUUGGUUUUACGCUCUCGAGCAGGACGAGGGCGGCAUACCCCCAUGGAAGCGUUUUCGCGAGCUCUGCCUCUUACGCUUCGGGCUGCUGAUACGCGGGAGCCGACUGGCGGAGCUUGGCCGCCUACCCUUCACCUCCACGGUGCAGGACUUCGCCAACCGCUUCCACGCCCUGGCGUGCCACGCGCCUGGCGUGCCACGCGCCCGGCGUGACGGCUCGCCAGCGGGCCGAGCUCUUCGUGGGCGAUCUGCCAGAUCAUAUCCACGUGGACGUGGAGCUGCGGAAAACUCAGGACCUCCAGACGGACAUGUAUUAUGCCCGCGCCUUCGAGCGUCGCUCGCAGGCCUUGCAGCAGGCGUCGCCGGCUCAGGGCGCCCGACAGCUAGCCAGGCCGCUCCCGACACCACCAGUGCCGAGGCAUCCGCCUCCGUCCUCUACAGCGACCAACGCCCCGGCCGCAACACGGACCUUCCGCCGGCUCACCUCGGCCGAGCAGCUCGAGUGUCGUCGCCAGGGGCUAUGCUAUAACUGCGAUGAGCCCUACGUGUCGGGCCACGUCUGCCCGCGGCUCUUCUACUUGGAGGCGGCCGACUACAUCGAGGAGGACACCGUUACCGACGGGCUCGACGACUUGCCCGCCCCAGCUGCUACAGAGGUCGCACCGGUGCCCGCUCCGGCGACGGCUCUCGUGGUCUCCCUCCAUGCCCUUGCGGGUAUACGAGCGGAGCAGACUAUGCUCCUGCCGGUGAUGAUCAACAGGGAGCGCCUCGUGGCCCUCCUGGAUACGGGCUCCACGUAUAACUUCCUGCCCAAGUUGACCAUGCGCCGCUUGGCACUUCACCCGACGGGCGGCGAGCAGCUCCGGGUCACAGUGGCUAACGACGACCGCCUCCGAUGUCAUGGGAUUGCACGGAACGUCCCCAUCACCAUCGGCGACGGGCACUUCACCAUCACGUGCGCCGGCAUCGACUUGGGCUGCUCCGACUUCAUCCUCGGCGUCGACUUCUUGCGGACCCUGGGUCCCAUCCUCUGGGACUUCGACGCCAUGACGAUGAUCUUCUGGCGCUUGGGUCACCGCGUCCGGUGGGAGGGCGUGGGUGACGCCUCACCAGCGGCGCCGCAUCUGCAGCUGACGGCGACUACUGCAGGGCCCGAGCACCCCCUGUUGGAUCAUCUCUUGCAGCAGCACCGCGACCUCUUCGACGAGCCCCAGGGCCUUCCGCCAGCUCGGGCGUACGACCACCGCAUUCACCUACUGUCGGGCACAGCCCCUAUGGCGGUGCGUCCUUACCGCUACCCCUAGUUGCAGAAGGACGAGCUGGAGCGGCAGUGCGCGGUCAUGCUCGCCUUGGGCAUCAUCCGGAUCUCUACCUCGCCGUUUUCGGCGCCGAUCCUCCUCGUCCGCAAGGCGGACGACACGUGGCGUUUCUGCAUCGACUACCGUGCUCUUAAUGCACAGACGCUCAAGGAAAAAUUUCCCAUUCCGGUCGUCGACGAGCUUCUGGACGAGCUACAUGGGGCACGCUUCUUCACCAAGCUCAACCUCCGUUCAGGCUACCACCAAGUGCGGAUGCACCCAGACGAUGUCGCGAAGACGGCGUUUCGAACUCAUCACAGCCACUUCAAGUUCUUGGUAAUGCCUUUUGGUCUCUCCAACGCCACGGCGACCUUUCAGGCCUUGAUGAACGAUGUUCUCCGCCCCUACUUGCGCUGGUUUGUGCUCGUUUCCAUUGAUGACAUUCUUAUCUAAAGUGCCUCGUGGGCGGAGCACCUUCAGCACGUCGCCAUCAUCUUCAACAAGCUUCGAGCGCACCAUCUUCACCUCAAGUGCUCGAAGUGCUUGUUCGGCACGCCUUCGGUCGCCUACCUCGGCCACGUCAUCUCAGUCGAGGGUGUCGCUAUGGAUGCUGACAAUGUGGUGGCUUUCGUGGCCUGGCCGACGCCGCACUCGCCGCGGGCCCUACGAGGCUUCCUGGGCCUCGCAGGGUACUACCAGAAAUUUAUCCGGGAGUUUGGCGUCUUCGCAUCCCCGCUCACACGCAUGUUGCGUCGCGACGCCUUCGCCUAGGAUGCUGAUGCGACCGAGGCGUUCGAGGGCCUCAAGCGGGCCCUCACUACGGGUCCGGUCCUCCAGAUGCCCGACUUCGACAAGCCGUUCAUAUUGGACUGCGACGCCUCGGGCGUGGGGUUUGGCGCCGUCCUUCAUCAGGGUGACGGCCCACUUGCGUUCUUCAGCAGGCCCUUCGCCGCGCGCCAUCAUAAGCUCGUAGCCUAUGAGAGGGAGCUCAUUGGCUUGCUGCAGGCCGUGCGCCACUGGCGGCCAUAUCUCUGGGGGAGGCCGUUCCGUAUCCGCACGGAUCACUACAGCCUCAAGUUCUUAUUGGACCAGAGGCUUUCCACCAUGCCGCAGCAUCAGUGGAUCAGCAAGCUCUUUGGCUUUGACUUCCCAUCGAGUAUCGUCCGGGCCGCCUCAACACCGUGGUCGACGCACUAUCCCGCCGCGACGCCGACCACAACUCGGACGUCGUCGACUCCGUGGGGGCGGCCCUCUGCAUUCGCUCGGGGCCCUCCUUCGCCCUCAUUGACGACAUCCGCAGGGCCACCGCGGAUGCUCCGGGCGCUCAGCUCCUUCGGCAGCACCUCGACGCUGGCGACGUGGCGCUUGGCAGAUGGCUUGCUCCUGCAUAGGCGCCGGCUCUUCAUGCCGGAUCACGGCGACCUCCAUCACCAGGUCCUGCUGCUGGCACACUCAGCCGGCCACGAGGGCGUGCAGAAGACCCUCCACCGUCUCUGCGGUGAUUUCUACAUCCCCGGCGACCGGGCCCUGGUACGAGAUUGGGUGCAGUCUUGCCUGACGUGCCAGCGCAACAAGACGGAGACGCUGCGACCGACCGGGCUGCUCCAGCCCCUGGAGGUUCCCUCUCAGGUAUGGGCCGACAUCUCCAUGGAUUUCAUCGAGGGCCUUCCCAAGGUGGGUGGCAAGUCCGUCAUCCUUAUGGUGGUCGAUCGUUUCUCCAAGUACGCGCACUUCAUCGCGCUCGGCCAUCCCUACACUGCCGCAUCCAUGGCGCGUGCCUUCUUCGACGGCAUCGUCCGCCUCCACGGGUUCCCCUCUUCGAUCAACGACCGGGACCCGGUGUUCAUGGGGCAUGUCUGGUGUGAUCUCUUCCAGAUGGCAGGCGUGAAGCUGCGCCUGAGUACAGCCUUCCGUCCUCUGACAGACGGCCAAUCUGAGGUGGUCAACAAGGUGAUCGUCCCCGUGCUUGGGUGGACUGGCUCGCAUGGGCUUAUCCUGUUCCAGGCACACAACUUUGCCGGGAUGGGUAACAAGCUUGUGAACCAUGAUAGUACGAUUGUUUUUUGGGGGGUAUGAGCUGGGGUUUUUUUAUCAUGGCAUGUACCGAUGGGAUUUGCGUGUAUAAACACCUUGUAUGUUGGUCAAUUAGGCCCCCAUUCAAUGCAAAGUGUUAUUUACCAAUGUCUUGCCAUUUGCAAGUUUUGCUGGGAACUUUGUUUGCUCUAACUUCCCAUAUGCCCAUGGCCCACCUACGAUCUUGUGUAUACAUUAUGAAUUUGGUUUUCUUUCAAGUUCCAUGGCCGCAAUACUACUUUGCGUUUACUAGAGCACCCAUGACUCGAGCAUAACUGCAACACAUUUACUAGAACACCAACUAUCAUGUUCUCAGCCCCAACUCCAUCCACAACUUGUAGAACAAAAAUGACAUUAACAUUUUUCUAAAAUGGCACGCCUUCAAAGAUCACAUUUCAGGCUUAGUCGAGUGCAAUUCCAGGGAUCAAUAUUUUCAAAAUUAUCAGGCAACUAAAAUUUAGCAAAAUCGUAUUUUUAUAGCUGGACAAUAAGGUAGAAAGUUCCCUAAAGGUAGAGUCAGUCGUUGAAUCGUGGAGAUCUUUAUGUCAAACCAUGGUCAAUAAAACAAUGCAGAAAAUCAAAUGUUUUAUAAGCUAACUCCAUAUAUAGAUUAUCUGCAAAAGGUAACCUUCAUGUAAAAUUUGUUAUUCAAUGAGAUGGCAUGCAACAACGACUUUUGACCUUUGAGAUUUUAGUCUUCUUUGUUCUUGUUUAGCGGUUCUACUCUUCAUUUUCCGGAAAAAAAUGAAGGACUGGCCUCCUAGCAUCCCCAUCUUCGGAUGCACACAUCCAUGCCUUAAUUGCUGCAAAACAUGAAGACAUAAUUAAUAGGUUGAAUAAACACAAGACCAACAUAUGAUCUCAUGACAACCGACAUCUCGAAAUGCUACCACAAACCUAUCAGUAGAAAAAACCCACCGGCGGAACUCCGAAGCCUAACAAAGGUAGCACUCAAGGACAACAACUUAAAGAUGUAAUCAUGUUUGUACGCCGAUGUAAACAGCGGUUGGUGUUUCACUAGCUAGACAUUUCACCUAGCCUUCACUAUCUUGCUUAAAUCACAACAAAAAUGAUCAUCAAUAGAGAUUUGACAUGAAUAUCAAUAGAAACCAAUAGCUAGACAAUAAACAAUUUGACAUAUAUCUUUGCUGGAUCUCUCAAUUCCGAUAGCAAUUAAAAAAGAAUGUGUUCAUCUAAUUGGUCAGAUUAAGCCAAAUCUUAAACUAAAAAAAUCAAUACAAUUUCUGAAUGAAAUGUAGUGCAGUAUUGGUGAUAGUGCAAAAUGGUCUUCAGACCAAACAUAACCGAUGCAUGUAACGCUCCAUAAAAGAAAGGUAAAACCUUAUAGUCAAUAUAUGAUGUGAUUUGUUUUCCUUGAGAAAUCAUGUACUGUCCUGCUGCAAAAAAACUCCAACAUGUGAGUAGCAGAUACUUCAUCCUACGCAGUUCCUUGAUAUCAGAAUUUAAUUUAUGGUUACAACCAAUAAGAAUAGAUGGUUUCAAAAUUAAAAGAACCUGAACUAUUUCUGGUUUUACAAUAUUAGCAGCUGAUUGACCAAAAGUUUGUUAGUUAUUCCUAGGAAUAUCUAUGUCAGAACACCUAGAGUCCACUGCCUAGAAGCAAGAAAUCGGGACUGGAGUGAGCAAGGGGAGAAGACUGAAUUUGUGCAAAGAAAAGGUAAAAGUGGAGCAUAUCUUGCCAUGGGAAGGACAUAGUAGCACAAAGGAAAUGAGGAUGAUCCUGUUAGGACAACUGUUUUGCUGUAGGAACCUACGGCUGGAAAUAGCUGGCCUGAAGCAUUUUCAGGGCAAAAUAAAAAAUUAAAUUAAAAGGAAUUUAACAAGCAAUCACGAGGUCAUGGAAGUUAUUAUGACUACACUAUGUUUACAUUUUACGAUCCUCGAUGCCUUCUUAUUUGAUCCGGCCAUGACUUUUAAGGUUUAACUUUCCCUUUGAAUUUGAUCAAUUGAACUUGCACUACAACUUAUUUCCCAAAUUAGAGAACUUAAGCUUGAGCAGCCUAUUCAAGUCAUUUCUCUCUGACCUACUAUAAUUAUGUAGAGCAUUGCGGUUCUAAGUUUUCACAUGCAGAAUCGUCAGAUGCAAGAUGCCCGAUCACCUCGACCUGAGAGGCGUAUAUGUGUGCAUUAAUUAAGCGCUUAUGUGGAAGAAAGUUAAACUGGUAAAGCAAACCUACAGUUGAGAACAUAAAUUGAAUCCCCUGAUCCCUUUCUGUACCCAAAAAGACUCUUUCAUCCAAGGAGAUAUAGGAACAAAAUUUAUCCUGAUUAACGGGGAAGUCUAUGUAAAUAGAAAGACAGAUUUAUGGUAAACAGUAACAGUGGACACAUGUUGUCGGGACCCAAACAUCAUCUUCAUUCAGUAAAGUGGCUACAUGACAAAUCAAAGUCAAGAAUCUAAUGGGCCAUCAGACUCAACUGCAUAGGGGAAAAAAUAUGGACACCCAUAUUUAUAUUCCAUUGAACAUUAAAAAAAUAGCAUCAGGAGGCCAUCAAAAUUAUUAUGACUUCACUAUGCAUAGAAAAGGAACAUCGAAAAAAUAUCAAGAAAAAUCGCAGCCCAAGAUAUCACUUAAACCUGCAUCACAACCAAAAAAGAGAUGAAUUAUAGCAUGCCAAACCUCCACAUCAUUAAUUUGUUCACACGGUGGUGCUUCAAAAAAAGGAGGGAAAUAUAUAUCCAUGUUUUGUUUAGUUCACAAAACUUGGCACCAUAUUGCUAGAUUAUUCUCUGUCAAGAUUACGUCGCACACAAUUUGAAAUGAACAUUCAUUGUGUGCCUUUGGGUAUUGCAGAGAUUGAUCUAAUGAAAUUGAUCACCUUAAGUCUGAUUUAAAGCUAACAAAAAUCACAAUAACACAACAGAACAUAAGUUAGUGUGUCUCUGAUUAACUUAGAAACAAACCUCAAUGACCAGAUCCAUUUUUGUAUUUUUAGUACAGUAAUAUUAGCCACAACACAAACACCAAAAAGGGUAGUUCUGGAAAGGCUUUCUAAGAAUCAGAAUUGUUUGGGAAACACCAAAAUCUUUUUUGUGGCUGAAUUUUUUUCUCAAAUCUUAAUAGAUGUGUACUUUUCACCUUUUUUUAAGGAAUUCAUAUUUGUAGUACAGCAGUAGCCACAGCCAAACAGCGAGCCAGUCAUUAUCAGAACAUUCAGUCUUACACUACUUUGUAGAAGCAAAAUUUCACCCAUUUGGUAACUUAUCGACUUUAAUAAAUGAAUUGGACUCUGUCCUACAAGAACAUGGCCCAUCACUUGGCAUAAAGCCAUAAACACAUCGAAACAGUUCUGGGCUGAUUCGACUUGAACCGGAAGAUAAACAGAGGAGAGGAGGAAUUCUUUCUACAAGACUUGGAAGAUUCAACUAGAUGACAGCAAGGUAGAAGAACUCCUGGCCAUCAGCACCUCAUCUUCCCUGGCUUCGCCUUCCAUGUGUGAUUUAGCAAGAGUCGAGCAAAGGAUCUGGUGUUUACAGAGCGGACAAGGUGAAAGGAGAGGUUUUUGGGUCUGCCGAUGAACUGUUCAUAUCGUGGCAAGGCGCAAAGACGAGAGCAGAAAACAUAAAGCUAAGGAAAGCCUUUAGUCCCAAACAAGUUGGGGUAGGCUAGAGGUGAAACCCAUAAGGUCUCACAACCAACUCGUGGUUCUGGAAACAAUGCAAGAUAGGGAAAACUAUGGUUUUAUUCAUAUCGUGCCGCCCUCCACCCACUCUCCGGCUUACAUACUGCCGUGAGCCACGAUAUUACAGGAAACAACUAUAGUACUAAGCACUAACUGAAAAUGACCAGGCUAGCUAACUGAAGAAACUGACUGACAUGACCAUGCUAGCUAACUGAAGAAAGUGAGUGACAUUCCAGCACAUCCCCCCUUGACUUCUGACUUGAUUACUUGUGGUAGCCUCGCCUCCUCGACGCCGCAGUGUUCCGACAUUACCAGAAAAAAUAAGAGAAAAUAGGUUAUUCAUAUGAUCUAGAAAGAAUACUCUGCAAUCCAAUAGACACGAACAGGCUGACCUUCUUCAGAGACUUGGGCAAGCAGGCCUCAGGAUUUAGCAUCGAUGGA
rnacentral:lncRNA from 1 species